rnacentral:hammerhead_ribozyme from 1 species
GAUGACGAGUCCCAAAUAGGACGAAACGCGCGUUC